AUGACAAUGUUCAAGAAUGAGAUAUGAUAUUUUCUAUAGUAUGUGACUAGAGAAGUUUUUCUGAUUAUGCAGAGCACCAGAAAUCAUGAGGAGGAGCCAGAGCGUCCUCUCCUGAUCGUGAAGCUGGCUCUAGGUGUUGCUUCUGCGACUGCCUUAGGCCAUUGAUGAUUUUUCUCCCUUUUCUCUGGAAAGGGUAGAGGGAGAGGAUGCAGUCUGAGUGGA